GCAGUUGUGGCCGAGUGGUUAAGGCGAUGGACUAAAAAUCCAUUGGGGUCUCCCCGCACAGGUUGGAAUCCUGUCGACUGCG
rnacentral:tRNA from 1 species